UGGGGAAUAUUGGACAAUGGGCGAAAGCCUGAUCCAGCCAUGCCGCGUGUGUGAAGAAGGUCUUCGGAUUGUAAAGCACUUUAAGUUGGGAGGAAGGGCAGUAAGCGAAUACCUUGCUGUUUUGACGUUACCGACAGAAUAAGCACCGGCUAACUCUGUGCCAGCAGCCGCAGUAAUACAGAGGGUGCAAGCGUUAAUCGGAAUUACUGGGCGUAAAGCGCGCGUAGGUGGUUCGUUAAGUUGAAUGUGAAAGCCCCGGGCUCAACCUAGGAACUGCAUCCAAAACUGGCGAGCUAGCGUAGGGCAGAGGGUGGUGGAAUUUCCUGUGUAGCGAUGAAAUGCGUAGCUAUAGGAAGGAACACCAGUGGCGACGGCGACCACCUGGGCUCAUACUGACACUAAGGUGCGAAAGCGUGGGGAGCAAACAGG
rnacentral:rRNA from 1 species